rnacentral:rRNA from 1 species
CAGUCGCCGCGGGAAUACGAAGGGUGCAAGCGUUACUCGGAAUUACUGGGCGUAAAGCGUGCGUAGGUGGUGGUUUAAGUCCGUUGUGAAAGCCCUGGGCUCAACCUGGGAAUUGCAGUGGAUACUGGGUCACUAGAGUGUGGUAGAGGAUAGUGGAAUUUCCGGUGUAGCAGUGAAAUGCGUAGAGAUCGGAAGGAACAUCUGUGGCGAAGGCGACUAUCUGGGCCAACACUGACACUGAGGCACGAAAGCGUGGGGAGCAAACAGGAUUAGAUACCCCCGUAGUCCCUGUCCUUAUACA